CAGUCGCCACGGUAAUACAGAGGUCUCAAGCGUUGUUCGGAUUCAUUGGGCGUAAAGGGUGCGUAGGUGGCUUGGUAAGUUGAAGGUGAAAUCUCGGGGCUUAACUCCGAAACUGCCUUCAAUACUGCUGAGCUCGAGGAUUGUAGAGGAGAAUGGAAUUCACGGUGUAGCAGUGGAAUGCGUAGAUAUCGUGAGGAAGACCAGUGGCGAAGGCGAUUCUCUGGGCAAUUCCUGACACUGAGGCACGAAGGCCAGGGGAGCAAACGGGAUUAGAGACCCCGGUAGUCCCUGUCUCUUAUAC
rnacentral:rRNA from 1 species